rnacentral:lncRNA from 1 species
AUUCAGACUGCUGAGCUGUAUACAUAUUGCCUAAUGCUCUAGGAUAUUGCUACUCUGAAAAUACAUGGUGUCUUGAAUGUAGCUGAAAUUAAGAUUUUCUGCUUUUGACAUGUAGCCCUUCAAAGGGCUAAAAGUACUUUGUCUGUUACAAGAUACUGCAAAGUCUUCCCUUCUUCUUUGUUUCCCAUUGCUGGAUUUUUUGAGAGGUAACAGUCACUUCAUUUUCCUCAGAGUUGAAAACAGCAUCACACUGCUAAAACUUCAUCGGUGACAAGGGAAUAAAUCCUGUGGAAGUGACA